rnacentral:piRNA from 1 species
CAUGUAUGAUGACGGAACUUUUUU